rnacentral:rRNA from 1 species
AUGUUCUGGUUUGACCGAUGGGCGGGUCACGCCCCCUUCGUGGCCCGCUUUCCCGACCUCUUCUCUAUCGCUGUCGUCCCUACGAUCUCAGUUCAACAUGCCCUUAUUGAUUUAGGGUGCCUCGCGUUCCGGAGGCCAUUUGGGCCCCCGGAAGUGGCCGCCCAACCUGAGCUUCUUGAUUGUAUUGCUCUCCAUGAGCCGACUGUCGAUGCUGGCCCGGAUGAGGUUCGGUGGUGCCUUGAGCCUUCGGGUCAAUUCUCCACCAAGUCCCUUGACGCGGCUAUCACCCCGUCCUCCGCCCCGCCCCCUCUCCAGACGGUGUGGUCCAUUCGCCUGCCCCUUAAAAUCCGAAUCUUCAUGUGGCAAUGGAUCCGCGGACGGCUCCCGUCUGGAGUUGAGGUCCGCAAGCGCAAUGGGCCGGGCUCUGGUCUUUGCCCUCUCUGUAAUACCCCCGAAGACUCGAACCACAUAUUCUUCUCUUGCGUGUCUGCUCAGUUCGUGUGGAGCUGCUUUAGAGAGGCGGUUGAUGGGGAUUGGUACCACUCCAACUUCCCCGACCUCUUUGCCGAACUUCAGGCCUCCCCGCUGACCACUCGCCACAUUAGGUGGCUUGAGAUUGGGGUCCUCGCGUGGACGCUCUGGACGAUUCGCAAUAAGCUUGUGAUCCAGCGCUCCCCUCUUCGAUGGUCUACUGACGCUCUCUUCAAACUGUCUGGUUACUUGCAGCUCUGGUGGCUGCUUAGCCGCCCGCGGGACCGGGACGCCAUCUCCGCCUUCAUCGCCGACCUCCACUCGAUGGCCGUCCGCCUGUCGCCUACACCACCGCCGCCUCCACCUGAGCCUGAUUAG